rnacentral:tRNA from 1 species
UGGCUCAGUUGGUAGAGCGUGGGGCUUGCAACGCCAGGGUUGUGGGUUUUGAUUCCCAC